rnacentral:lncRNA from 1 species
UCCUUAGGGAGACGAUCCUCCAAGCCCAAAGGAAGGUAAUCCCAAUGAGGAUCAAAGGGAGCAGGAGGGCACACAAGCCUCCAUGGCUCACCAAAAGCAUCCGGGAAUGCCUCCUCGCUAAAAGGGAGGUGUACACCCAAUGGAAAGAAGGGGACAUCACCAGGGAUGACUAUACUGCAGUCACUCAGGGAUGUAGGAGGGCAGUCAGGAAGGUCAAGGCAGAGAUGGAAUUAGGACUAGCUUCCCAGAUUAAGGACAAUAAGAAGUCCUUCUUUAAAUACAUAGGGGGUAAAAAGAAGGUUCUGGGUAAUGUGGGGCCCCUGCAGCAUGCAUUGGGAAAUUUGGUCGUCACACCAGAUGACAAAGCUAACAUGUUUAACGAUUUCUUUGCCUCCAUCUUCCUAAGUAGGGACCAGAACAGUCACCUCCCUGCUGGGCCCCCCUUGGGUCCCGGGGGAGGCACACCUGGGCCAAGGGUUAGUGAGGAAUUAGUUAGGGAACUUCUGGAGGGGUUGGACAUAUUCAAGUCAGCCGGUCCAGACGAUCUCCACCCUAGAGUUCUAAAGGAAUUGGCCGAGGUCAUUGCCGGCCCCCUGGCAAGGCUUUACGAGCACUCAUGGUGCUCUGGUGUGGUGCCGGAGGACCGGAAGAGGGCCAACGUGGUUCCCAUCUUCAAAAAGGGGAAGAAGGAGGAUCCGGGAAACUAUAGGUCAGUUAGUCUUACCUCGAUCCUAGGCAAGCUGUUUCAGAAAAUUAUUCUGGCACACAUCCACGAGGGGCUAGCAGGGGACUCCAUGCUUAGGGGCAACCAACACAGGUUCAUCAGUGGCAGGUCCUGUCAGACCAACCUGGUGGCCUUUUACGAUCCAAUCACCAAAUCAUUAGAUGCAGGGGUAGCAGUGGACGUAGUCUUCCUGGACUUCCAGAAGGCUUUCAACACUGUCUCUCACCCCAUUCUCAUUAAGAAACUGGGGGGCUGUGGUGUCGACACCCACACAGUCAAAUGGGUCG